rnacentral:lncRNA from 1 species
AAAAAGAUAUUUUUAAAUUGAGUUAGGUUUGUUUGCCUUGUUAAAAAUGAACAAUGAAAGGGGCUGGUCCCGUGGCGCAGUGGCUAAGUUCGCGCACUCUGCUUUGGUGGGUUUGGAUCCCCAGUGUGGACCUACCACCGCUCAUCAAGCCACGCUGUGGCGGGAUCCCACAUAAAAUAGAGGAAGACUGGCACAGAUGUUAGCUCAGAGACAAUCUUCCUCACACACACACACAAAAGAACAAUGAAAAGCAACAGGAUGCCAGAGUCAACUUAUGUGCACUUCUAAGGUUGCUUUGGAGCCCUUCCUCCCCGGCAGCAGCCUCCACUUGUCCACCCAGAAGAUGCCCGGGAGAGAUGAAUGUUCCUUGGAUCCAAAGCAGUCACAUCAGACAUUAUAUAAUAUGUGUACCUCUGAACCACUGGAUUCCAUGUAGAUGAUAGGAUUCCCCUCCACCAGCAAGCACUAAGGGCCACUGCUAAAGCAUAUUUGGAUUUUUUAAGGGAAGAAUUUCAGUGUCCCCUUGCAGAGAAGCCAUCCACUGGGGACCGGGAGCGCACACCCCUGCAGUGAUGUGAUGUGACAGCAAGGAUGGCUUUCACCACAAGAGCAGCGGAGAAAAUUGGACAAGAGGAACCCUGGGAGGCCGGGGUUAUCUAAACACAGCAAGUCACCCGAUAUGUCAAAGAGGCAAAAAGGAAGACCUUCUCUGUGAUUUCUGUGACAGGGGAACUUAUUGUUCAACCCAACUGAGAAAACAGAUGUGGUCACGUUUCUCUGCAUAAAGGAACUUACAUAGAGGAUAUGAGGCUAGUAAGAGGUGCCAGACGUGAGAAUAAACAUUGAAACACCUAUCUUGCGGAGGGGACAGUGAUCCCUUGGCGGUCCCUUGGCUGUCCGCUGAAACUUUUUGUUAUACGAAUUUGAGAGGUUACAAAAAGGACGUGAGAUGCAUGGAAUUCAUUAACAACUAUCUGUGAAAGAAUAUCCUAAUUAGCAUAACUCCAUGCUACAAGCCUGAAUCAGCAUGCCAGAGGAGAGGGCCUGAACAGAGGGGGGUAAACCUUAUGAACUGAAAGAAAAUAAGGCAGUCUAGAGGAGCGAAAACAAAUAGGUGGAUGGUUCUCCCACGAGAUUUAAAAUUCAACAGGACUGUGGCACGUUCCCUCUUAAUGACUGUGAAAUUGAUUGGGAUAUAGGCUAAUAGAGGUCCCAGGAGUGCUAAACUAAAUUAGAGGAAGUCCUAUAAUUACAGCUAGCAGUUAAUUAUUCUAUGAUGGGAAUGGUAAUCAACGGAACAGACACACUGUGAUUUUCCAUCUUCCCUGCAAAACAUCCCUCACCAAGUCUCUUAAGAGUAGUAGAGCGGCCAGUUUUGUGGUUCAACUUACUGUGGCUUCCUAGUGCACCCAAAUAAAAUCCAAACCAGGGCCUCCUGCAGGUGAUUUGGCCUGCGGCCUCAUUCCUGGCUCUUGCCUGCCUUUCCCACAUGAGCCUCUUGUGGUUCUUCAACACAUGCCUCGUUCUCUCUGCCUGGAAUGCUCUCUCCCCAGAUUUCCACCAGGCUCGCUCCCUGCCUCUGUGCAGACAUCAAGAUGGCGGCUCCUUAGAGAAGCAUUCGCGGUCCAUUCUAUCUAAUAGAGAUACACCGCAUCCCUCGACGCCACUUUACUCUUCUUCAUGCCAUUAUUGUCCCCUGACACUUGUUCUUGAUAAUCUGCCUCCCCUGAAACUCCAUGGGAGCAGUGACUUGGUCCGUCUUAUUCCCAUUGUACCUUUUAGCUCCCAGAAUACAGCCUGGCUCUGAGUUGGUCC